rnacentral:lncRNA from 1 species
AAAGACACCAAGUCUUGGGAGAAGCCUUUCAACAACCCUUUAGGUGUUUCACGCAUUAAGUCCCUUAGACACCUCUCUUUAAAGUACAUACCUAUAACUGAUGAAGUUGUUGGGCUGGUUCUAUCCGAAUGUCAACUUCUUGAACACCUCAGUAUUUGUCACUCAAGCGAUCUUUAUGCUGUGAAAGCAGUUGGUUCAUCACUCCGGUUGAAGUUCCUACAAAUAAGUUAUUGCGGUGGCAUAGUCAGAAUUGAUAUUUCUGCCCCUAAUCUUGUGUCAUUUAUAUAUCGCGGACAAAAUGUGUACAGAAGAGGAAUUGUUUUGAAACAUGCACCCAAGCUUGUCUACGUAUCUCUCUCAGAAGACGAACCUGAUAGCAUUACCAAACAUCUUCUGUCGAUAUCAGCUCGACUUUCAUACCUUCAGACUCUCCACCUGUGGAUGAAUCUGAGAAGGGUUAGACUCUCAACCUGUUAUUUACUUUAAAAUUUUCCUAGCUUCUUGUGCUUGUUGGUUGAUCAUUUUCAAGUUUUUUACGUUCCUAUCUUUCAGACAAAUGUUAUGCUCCCACAAUUUCCCGAAUUAACUAGUCUCAAAGACUUGUCGUUGACUGUACAUGCCAAAAAUUAUGGUCCAAGUCUCCUGGAUAUGACUUCCUUGUUAGAGCAAUCUCCCUUCUUGCAGAGAUUAACAUUCCAGGUAAAUUCAAUAUAUCUAUUAACGUGGUUUUUAGAAGUCAUAUGUUGAUCCUCUACUUUUCAAAUAUAUUAACGUGGUCAUCAACAUUGUAUUAUUGAUAAUUCCGUUCCUCCUAGAAAUCGCAAAAGCAUGGAAUUUAAAAUGAUGAAUUUAAUGUUCAUUUGGAAUUUUUGAACUUUUUAUCUGUUUUUUUAAUUUUGUGCAUGUAGUUGAUAUUAGGAAAUGAUUUCAUUACUUUAUAAUUAGUUACACUGAGGUAUUUAUAUAAACUAGAUUUACACAGGUAAAGAGAAUAGUUACAGUGGUAACUAUUUGUAACUAUUCUAACAACUAACUAACUUGACUAACACUAAUGUUUUACAAUGGUAACUUGCUCUUCACACCCCCUCAAGCUGAACGGAGAAGGUUGAAGUGAAAGCUUGGAUCGAAGAUGAAGAAAACGUGGCCUUGGCAGAGAUUUGGUGUGAAUAUCCGCUAAUUGAUCCGCACUGCAAACAAAUUUGACAGUAAGAAGCUUAGCCAAAACAAGCUCACGGAUGUAAUGAUAAUCGAUUUCAACAUGCUUUGUGCGAGCAUGAAAAACCGGAUUUGAAGUCAAGGCAAUUGCAGAAACAUUGUCACACCAAAUUUGUGGCAAGGAGGACAACUUGAAACCAAUAUCAGAGAAGAGUUGACAGAUCCAAGUGAUCUCAGCAGCGGUAUGUGCAAGGGAGUGGUACUCAGCUUCGGUAGAGGAUCGGGCAACUGUGUGCUGUUUCUUUGCACUCCAACUAACUAGACAAGGACCAAGAAAGAUGCAAAAGCCUCCAGUGGAACGCCUAUCCCACGAACAUCCUGCCCAGUCAGCAUCGGAGUAGGCGUUGAGAAGGAGGGGAGAUGUGGUUUUGGGAAACCAUAAGCCAAAUCCAAGUGUCCCUUUUAGAUACCGGAGGAUGCGUUUCACGGCUUGAAAGUGAGGCUCCCGGGGAGAAUGCAUGAACUGACACACCAGAUUAACCGCAAAGGAUAAAUCAGGCCGGGUCCAUGUAAGAUAUUGGAGGGCGCCAACAAUAGAGCGAUAGUCCUCGGGAUUCGACAACAAGGAACCAGUGUGAUCAAGCUUGACAGAACUAAGGGGAGUGGCACAUGGCUUUGCCCCAUCCAUUUUGGUACGCUUGAGAAGAUCCAAUAUGUAUUUGGAUUGAUGAAUAAAGGCUCCGGAGGUGGAUUUCUGAACUUCCAGACCGAGAAAGUAAUGAAGAUCGCCGAGAUCCUUGAUUGGAAAUGUAGAGCUCAACUGAGAAAUGAUGGUGUUGCAGACACUAGAAGAAGGUCCGGUCACUAUGAUAUCAUCGACAUACACAAGAACCAAAACCAAGGUAGGUUGAUGCAGCACAAACAGACUAUGAUCAGAGUGUGAAGCUUGAAAUCCCAUUGAGAAAAGAGCAGAUUGAAGUUUUUCAUACCAAGCACGAGGGGCUUGCUUUAAGCCAUAUAAGGAUUUCUUCAAGUGACAGAUAUGAGUAGGAUGAUCCUGAUCAAUGAACCCAGGUGGUUGAGCCAUAUAUACAUUCUCUUUCAAAGAACCAUGGAGAAAAGCAUUGCUUACAUCCAGCUGGUGUAAAAACCAGUUUGAUUGGACGGAAAGGGUGAGAAUGAUGCGGAUAGUCACAGGUUUAGCAACCGGGCUAAAAGUAUCACCAUAAUCAAUGCCCUCUUGCUGAUUGUAACCUUUUGCAACGAGUCGAGCCUUGUAACGAUCCACAGAACCAUCUGGUUUCCUCUUAAUCCGGAAAACCCAUUUACAGCCAACCAAAUUAUGAGUGGAGGUAGAAGGAACAAGCUGCCAAGUACCUGUACUUUGUAAAGCAUUGAAUUCAUCCUGCAUAGCAGCCCUCCACUGUGAAUGUUUGGAAGCCUGGAGAUAUGUAGUAGGUAUAAACUCACUGUCAAAAUGAGAAGGCAGAGGAUGGGUUGUGGCAGUAAGAGCCUUAGGUUUGUAUAUGCCUGACUUAGAGCGGGUUUGCAUUGGGUGAACAGAGGAAAUAGGAGGUACAGGAGGAGGGGCAGGGUGUAGAGAAGGAGAGGCUGGUAGAGGAGAAGAGGGAGGUGAGGGAGGUUGCAGAGGUGCAGGACAAGGAGCAGGAGAAUGAACUUGCUCAGUAACUGGCGCAGGUUGAGGAGGGGAGGAAGAGAUGGGUGGUGGAACACGGGAAGGGAGAGAAUUAGGAGAAUAAAGAUUGGGAAAGGUAAGGGAAAAAUGUGAGUAAGGUUCUGGGGUAUGGGGAGUGGAGGACUUUAGAAGGUGGGGAUCAUGAAAAGGAAAUGUAUGUUCAUCAAAAUGAACAUGUCUAGAGAGAUAAACCCGAUUAGUGAAGGGAUCUAGACAUCUAUACCCCUUGUGAGCUAAGCUGUAGCCAAUGAAAAUACACAUCUUGCUCUUGGGAUCUAAUUUGGAAUUGGUGUAUGGUUUUAACCAAGGAAAGCACUGACAUCCAAAUACCCGAAGAGACUUGUAAUCUGGAACUUUCUUGAAAAAUUGUUCCCAAGGGGAAGACUUGUUGACUGGAGGUAGGCGAUUGAUAAGAUAGACUGCAGUAAGAAAACCUUCAACCCAGAAUUUGUGAGGAACUUGUGAGGCAAUAAGGAGGGUUCGAGCAGUCUCAACAAUAUGUCUGUGCUUCCUUUCAGCACAACCGUUUUGCUGAGGAGUGUAAGGACAACUGAAUUGUUGCUGAAUGCCAUGGAGAGACAAAUGAUGCUUGAAGUUAGAACUUGUAAACUCACCCCCUGAGUCUGAUCGUAAAGUACCAAUUUUGUAACCAGACAGAUUUUCAACAAGAGCUUGGAAUUGCACAAAAAUUUGAAACACUUCCGAUUUAUGUUUGAGAGGAUACAGCCAAGUAUAUAUUUGGUAAAAUCAUCUACAAAUAUGACAUAAAAGCGGUAGCCACUAACAGAACAUACUGGAGCUGGCCCCCAAACAUCCGCAUGAACCAAUUCAAGAGACCUAGAAGUAGUACAGAGAGAUUCUUGAAAUGGUAACUUGGCACAUUUGCCUAAAACACAAUUGGAGCAAAAGAAUUGUUGAACAUUAUUAGAAUCAGGUAGUAUAGACUUGGAUAACAGUGAUCGAAAAGUCUUGAACGAUGGAUGACCCAAACGUUGAUGCCACACAUGAGAAGAGGUCCUUAUUGCAGAAUGAGCAUGAACCUUCGGUGCAGGUGAAGAAGAAGCAUAAAAUGGAUAGAGACCAUUGCUGACAGGAGCUCUAAAAAGCAUCCUCCCCGUAGUAAGAUCCUUGACAUGGAAGUCAAAAGGAUUGAGGGUUAAUGAACACCAAUUAUCACGCAAGAACAUAUUGGCAGAAAGAAGAUCAUGCUUCAAGUGGGGAACAUGUAACACAUUCUUUAAUGUAAAAUCUGCAGAAGGUGUUUUAAGUAAAGUAGAACCAGUAUGGAGAAUUGGCAAACCUUGGCCAUCUCCAAUGUAGACUUUAUCUAGACCAGUAUAGGGCUGUGGAUUCUGAAGAUGAUGAAUAUUAUUGGUCAUAUGGGAGCUUGCGCCGGAAUCCAGUAGCCAUGGUGGUGGAGAAGAAGUACUAGAAGAUGCGUACAUCGCAAGUUUGGCGGGCGGGAACACGGCCUUGAAAAGUUGGAUUCAUGCGGUGGGAACAGUCAAUGGCAGCAAGAUGGCCAGUGUCCUCACAAAUUUGACACGGAAUGACUGCAGAAGUGAAAGAACGGAAGCCACGAUUUCCACCUCGAUUUCCACCACGAUUAGUUGAGAAAUUAGUAAACCGAUUGGAACGAUUACGGUUGUUGUAGGGCCUUUGAGAAGUGUUCCGCUGAAAAUUACCGCGAUUAUUGCCAGGGUAAGAAUGCUGAGAAACCAUUAGACUGAGCAUUGUAGGCCUGAUGUGGUGGAGGUGUAGGAAGCAAAGGAGGAGCAUUGGAAGCUGCUGGAAUAGAGGUGAAUGCCUGAUACGGUUCAGAGGAACCCUGAGAUUGCUUGCGACGAGCAAGAGCCAUUUCUUUGCUGAGAAGAAAUCCAUGGAGAUCAUCAACAGUAGUAUCAGCAAGACGAAAUUGAAUUGAAUCCACGAAGGAAUCAUAGUCAUCAGGCAAGCCAUUUAAGAAUGAGGUGAAGGAGAUCCGACUCCUCAACAGGGGCACCACCAAACACCGGCAGCAGCGAGAGCAUCAGAAACUUCUUUGAUUCGUUGCAAAUAUUCAGAUAUUGUGGAAGUGCCUUUCGACAUCAAUUGCAAAUUCGAUCGCAACUGAUGAAUGUGAGAACGAGAGACUCCACCGAAUCGCUUCUCAAGAUUUUGCCAAAGUUCACGGGAGGAUUGAACACCAACAGUAAAGGGAAUCAAAUCCUCAGAAAGAGUGGAAUUAAUCCAAAUGAGGAUGUUUUGAUCCUUUUCAUACCAGAUCUCGAAGGCUGGAUUCGGAAUCGAGGACAAAUUUCCAGAAAGAUCAGCAAGAAAUUGAGGCGGUGGCGGUUCAGAUCCAUCAACCACGCCGCUGAGCUUGUAGCGGCGGAAGAUCGGUUCGAACAAAGAACGCCAAACAAGGUAAUUAUGACGCUUGAGUUUUGUUUGAAUCAUACUCCCAAUGUUUUGGAUCGUGAUGGAGUUGAGUGAAGCUUGAAAGGAGGAGUUAGGGUUCAUCUGAGAAGGAUUGAGAUGUGGAGGCAGCGAAGAGGAAGGAUCCGCGAUCGCCGGAGAAGGAGGAUGCGCAGCCACAGGAGAGGAAGAAUUCGAAGAAUUUGCCGCCAUUGAUGAACAAGAUCGAAGAUCUGCAGACGGAAGCUAUGGUGUUUGGUAGGUAAGAAAAUAAGCAAGAAAAUAGUAGAAAGAGGAUCGAAGUCGGUGGACUUAAGCGAGUGAUACCAUAUUAGGAAAUGAUUUCAUUACUUUAUAAUUAGUUACACUGAGGUAUUUAUAUAAACUAGAUUUACACAGGUAAAGAGAAUAGUUACAGUGGUAACUAUUUGUAACUAUUCUAACAACUAACUAACUUGACUAACACUAAUGUUUUACAAUGGUAACUUGCUCUUCAGUUGAGAUUAGUGUUCAUUGAACAACCGAGUGGAAAUUACAAGCAACAGGAAAGCGUAUUUUUACCACUUGUGAUUUUUUUUUCAUUACCGCAUGAAACUUCUACUUGUUUUGAACUUUUGAUACGAGCGAUAGUGGGAAGGAGAAACCAAACUCGAGACCUCGGGUUUGAGGGUGGAUACUCCUAACCAACUAAACUACAAGUCAUUUUCUCAAACUUCUGUGUGUUGAAGUAACUUGUCAUGAGAAGAUUAAUAUGAAUGUGGUAUGCUCCUCUUACAGUUACAAUGGGGAUAUGUUCGCGAGGGUUAUACGAGAAAUAUGCAGGAGAUUAAAAGAUGUCCUCAUCAAUGCCUUAAGGUGGUGAGAUUUUCUGGGUUCAUUGGGAUGGGCGGGUCAAUUAUCGAUACGGAGUUUGCCAUGUAUCUGGUGGAAAAUGCUGUGGUACUUGAAAAGUUUAUCAUAGAACUUGAAAAGGUCGAAUUAGCUUAUAUACUGCCAGAGUUUGCUACAACGGAGGAGAAAUUAGAAGCAACAAAGGAGCAUGCUUUGCAGCUAAUUGGAACACAAUUACCACCAGGAGCUGAGUUGUUUAUCAUAUAAGUCCUUUCAUUUAUCUGUUUUUGCAGCAUACUUGAAGCUUUUUUUUAGUCUGCAACAUUUGUAUAAUUCGCAGUUUGCAAGUUUGCAGUUACUGAUCAUGUAAUGUUUUAAGGGUAUCAAUGGAUUAGUUUUGAGUUGGGUAUGACCUUGGUUUCUUGAUGUCGGUUUUCCCAUAUUUAUUUUAUAAUUUUGACAUUUUUCUGAAGAGUGCUGCUAGAUUUACCUAAAUAACACAAGUGUCACAGCAAAGAUGAGAUAUAACCCAUGUUGACGAGUUGAGGGGAGACUGACUUGUUUAUCAAGUCGUUUGACUUUUCCACUUUGCAGCAACUACAACUAUGGUCAAGCAGGCAAGGACUCGGAAAGGAUCUGAUAAACAACCCGGAUCUAGUGCCCACGGACCCGGUUGUAUCAUUGUCUUGGAUGGCUCCACAGGAAAACAAGCCAUCAAGCCAUGAUGUCAUCAGUGGUAGGUCCAUCUAGGCAGACAGAUCAGCGGGUCGGAUUCCCGGGUAUGGAGUGAUCACCAACAUCAUCAACGGAGGGCUUGAAUGGGGCAAGGCUCAGGAUGCUAGGGUUGCUAGUCGGAUCGGGUUCUACAGAAGGUACUGUCAGAUUUUGGAAGUGAGUCCGGGGGAUAACUUGGAUUGUUACAAUCAAAGGUCUUCUGCCUAAAAAAAUAUGCUAAAGUUUAGUCUUGGAGAUGUUGUCAUAAGACAAUAAUCCCAUCCUAUGUACUAAAUGAAAUGCAAUGAUCCUAUGUAAUAAAGAAAUUUCUCGUUUACACUAUAAGUUAGUUGUCUUAGUUGUGAUACGAGGAUGAGAGAAUCGAACACAAAAACUUAGUUGAUGUUGUUGUUGCAAUGAUAAAUCACUUAAUAUUAUACUACUACUAAGAAACUUACUUUGUUUAUAAAGUUAUAGGCGGAAUCAUGUGCGCCUUGUUUAUAAAGUUACAGUUGAUGGUACCUUGCAAUUACCUUAAAUUCCUUUUCACUAAAUAGAAAUGAGCAUUAGUUGGAGAUGACAUAUAUAAAUUGAUAGGCAUAAUUGACGGAAAAAACAAUGUAUGGCCUUGUAAAAACAUUGUAAAGCUCCAACUAAGCUCCUAAACAUUGUGGGAUCAGUCAAUGGAGUACCUUCAUCCUUAAGUACUUGUGUGUGGGGUUUACAAGGAGUAAGACAUGGUUUACAAGAUUCCUUUCCAGCCUUUUUCAACAAAUCAUUCAUAUACUUUGACUGAGAAAUGAAGAUAUUACUAUUACUAGUGUUGUUUUAGUUUGAUGUUAUUGUAGAUGUGAACUUUUUUACAUAAUGUAGAGCUAAAAAUAGGUCCAAAAUUUCUGGAGGCGACACGUGGACUUUUAGCGAAAAAAAGACAAGACUGCCCUUAUUAAGCUUAGCAUCCUAAGACAUGCAUUUAGCAGACUACGACUGCUUAGAGCUCCACUGCACGUGGAAAAUGUCAAAGGUAUUUCAUGAUAAGAUUAUCCUUAAAUCCUAGCAUUAAUAUAGUCUUGAUUGAAUUCUAUCAAGUAAGUAAUCCCAAUUAUAUUUAAUUAGGGAUAAUUACCUUUAAUUCCAAGAUAUUAUUUACACAAUAUCCAGGGAAUAUUCUCACCAAAUCCUACCCUAAUGGUCGGCCAUCUCAUUUGUAAAUACCCCAUUUCUCCACAAAAAAUGGGUAAGGUUUUCUAUAUACAGAAAACCUUAAACAUUCACUCUUUUCAGGGAAACUAACUCAGGGCUUGUUUGGAUGUGCUUUUAAAAUGACUGAAAGCGUUUUUAGAGAAAAUGCUUUUGGAUUUCAAAAGCACUUUGAGUGCUUUUUCAGGAUUUACUUGCAUUUUUACUAUGGAUUGGUUCUAAAAACAUUUUCACCAAAAGCAUCCAAUCAUUUUAAAAGCACAUCCAAACAAGCUCUUAGGUCUUGGAAAUCUGUUCCCCUCCCCCCCCCCCCCAAAAAAAAUCAUGGGUGAGUGAGGUCUUUGAUUUUUUUAUCAAAUGUGUUGAUUGUUUUGCAGGUGCAUUUUCAUCAAAACUGAAAAUAGCGGAAAUUUGCAUUGACACAUAUAAUUUGAAGAUGCUCUUAUCCUACUGAUCAUAUAAUGUUAAAGGUCUUUGUUUUCAUAUUUAUUUUAGAAUUUUAAAUAUUUUCUUACAUGUCUUAUUUUUCUCACAUGUCCUCCCUUAAUGAAAAUUCUCACAACAAAAUUUAUCUAAAGUGGAUCAAAAUUUUGAAUGAAUAGGUGAGAAUAACAACCAUUCUCUUUGAAUAUCUAAAUAUCAAAAAUGCUACUCUUGUCAUAUUUUUAUAUCAUAUUUGUGCUCUUAUUUAAUAGAGAUAGAACGCACUUAUAUUGGUGUGUCACAUAAAGGAGAUAAACAAGAGGAAAAGUGCUUAUAAAGGAAAAACAAGUGGGAGAGUGCAAAAUAACUAUUUUUGGGCAAUAAUAACGUCCUUAGUUAUAUGUUAAAUCAAUUUUGUAAUUAUGCAUUAUUUUUUCCGUCUCAUUGUGUCUCGGUUUAAAUUCUCUCUGGUAAUGAUUAGUGUAUAUCAAUUAUAAUAAUUAAAUUAAAAUAAUUUAUUAUGUAUAGAUGAUAUUUAAGGGUGACUUUUUUGUUUUGGUACAAACGAUAUUAUCGUCACUAAGAAAAAUGGAGGUUAGCCUCAUAAUGAGCUAGCAAUAUAAUGGUUCAAAUUCAUCAUUGACGAGAAUCGAAUCUAAAAUCUCUUACUUAUAAAUGAAGAUAAAUAUUAUUUUACGAUAAUCAAAAGAGAGACUCGCAGGUACAAAGACAACUAUAAAGAGGAAGGUAUCUAGCUUUAUGUUUCCUCCAUGUCUCUUUUUUGUACAUUUUAACUUCUCUAGUAAGCUCGAGUAUCCAUUUUCCAACCCCAACACUCUCCCCACAUUUCCGGCUGUCCACGUUGGCCAAUCAUCACCUGAGCCACUCCCAACCCUCACCGCGGUGCCCACCCCUCCACCACCACCACCUCCUUCUCCUCUCUCCGAUCUCCUCGAAAACCAGUUACGAAAUCCUAAAAACAAGUAAGUUCCCUUCUUCCUCGCUCUCUUUCUGAUUUAACAUUAUCUAGCUUAUUUGAUAUCAUCCAUGAAUUUAUAUUUUAUCGCCUUUGAAAUCGACGAAUAUUAAGUAAUUUAGUUACAUUCAUCGUUUUUGAAAAUUCUAAAAAUUAGUUUCAAAUCGAUCAUUAAGUAAUUUAGCUGCUAAACUGACUAGCUAGUAGCUAGCAUGAGACUCUAGGCUCUGGCAUACUUACUGACAGGUUCUUUGUAAAUUUUUCUAACUUGCCUCAGAAUCUGCAGCUUAUCUGACUAAAUUGUUCCAGUAUUAAGUUCAAUAGUUAGCAAAUCGAAGAAGGUUCGAUGGAAAUUCCAACUGCAUCAACAUAUGAUAAAAAACAAGAUAAAACUCCGAUGAAUUUGGGUGAUAAGGGAGAAACAAGUAAUCCGUUGGAGGAUCGGAUUAGUCAACUGCCCGACGCGGUUCUGGUUGACAUCAUUUCCCCGUUGAGGAUUAAGGAAGUAGCAAGGACUAGUGUCCUCUCUAAGAGGUGGAGAUAUUUGUGGACACAUGUUACACGUCUCAACUUUGCUCAUCAUGUUGGUGAACAUCCACGUACCUCCACAAGGACCACAACAGUUAAUCCGUCAGAGAGAAGACCUCUAGAAGAAGGGAUCAGCAGAAGACAACGAAUCCGGCAAACGCGCCAGGGUUUAACACCUUUAAACUUAGGCGAAUUCAGAGUUGGUUCUUCCUCAGAGGGUUCCGGUUCAAGAUCUAGGCACCCCGAUGCGAUUCCAAGACAAAUUGGCCCACCAUCACCACCACCGUGUACGGUGGUGACUAAAGUCCUGCAAUCGCAUCAGGGUCCAACCGUCGAUGGGAUCAGAAUUUGUGGGUCUUGUUAUAACUCGGAUCAUGUUGAUAAUGUUAUCGAAUUUGCAAUUCAAAAGAAAGUUCAAAGGCUUGAGCUAGAGAAAUCGAAAGAAAAAGACGCCAAGUUUUGGGAGAAGCCAUUCAAAAACCCUUUCGGUGUUUCACGCAUUAAGUCCCUUAGACACCUCUCUUUGAAGUACAUAAGUAUAAGCGAUAAAGUUGUUGGGCUGGUUCUAUCCGACUGUCAACUUCUUGAACACCUCAGUAUUUAUGACUCAAGCAAUCUUUGUGUUGUGAAAGCAGUUGGUUCAUCACUCCGGUUGAAGUUCUUGCGAGUAAGUCGUUGCCGUAGCUUAGUCAGAGUUGAGAUUUCUGCCCCUAAUCUUGUGUCAUUUAUAUAUGACGGUCCAAAUAUGUAUAGAAGAGGAAUUGUUUUGAAACAUGCACCCAAGCUUGUCAACGUAUCUCUUUCAGAAGACGAACCUGCUAAUAUUACCAAAGAUCUUCUGUCGAUUACCAGAGAUCUUCUGUCGAUAUCAGCUCGAUUUUCAUAUAUACAGACUCUCAACCUGUCGAUGAAUAUGACAAGACGGGUUAGACUCUCAACCUGUUGUUUACUUUAAAAUUUUCCUAUCUUCUUGUACUUGUUGGCUGAUCAUUUUCAAGUUUUUUGUGUUCCUGUUUGUCAGACAAAUGUUAUGCUUCCACAAUUUCCAGACUUAACUAGUCUCAAAGACUUGUCGUUGACUAUACAUGCCCAAAAUGAUGGGCAAAGUCUCCUGGAUUUGACUUCCUUGUUAGAGCAAUCUCCUUUCUUGCAGAGAUUAACAUUGAAGGUAAAAAUCAAUACAUCUAUUAGAGUGGUUUAUAUCAUCGCAAAGCGUCUAUCACAUUUUUACAAGUCAUAUUUUGAUCCUCUACUUUUCAAAUAGAUGAAUGUGGUCAUCAACCUUGUAUUACUGACAAUUCCGUUGUUCAUAGAAAGGGAAAGUUCGUUUCAUCAGUAUAGUUUACAAGUAGAGUUAUAGAAAGGGAAGGGCCAUUUCAUGAUUUGAGAUCGUAACAAGUGAAAUUGUUCAAUUUUUCUCUUUACUGAAUUAAACUUCUGCAUGUUUUGAACUUUUGAUACAAGCGAUACUGGGGCGGAGAAACCAAACUCGAGACCUUGGGUAUGAGGGUGGAUGCUCUUAACCAACUAAACUACAAGCCAUUUUUCUCAAACUUCUGCAUGUUGAAGUAACUUGUCAUGAGAAGAUUAAUAUGAUUGUUGUAUGCCCCUCUUCCAGAUACAAUGGGGACCUGUUUGCAAGGGUUAUACCAGAAACAUGCAGGAGAUUAAAAGAUGUCCUCAUCAAUGCCUUAAGGAGGUGAGAUUUUCUGGGUUCAUUGGGAUGGGCGGGUCAAUUAUCGAUACAGAGUUUGCCAUGUACCUGUUGGAAAAUGCUGUGGUACUUGAAAAGUUUAUCGUAGAACUUGAAAAGGUUGAAUUAGCUUUAUGGCCCAAUAUACUGCCAUGGUUUGCUACACCGGAGGAGAAAUUAGAAGCAACAAGGGGGCAUGCUUUGCAGCUCAUUGGAACACAACUACCACCAGGAGCCGAGUUGGUUAUCAUUUAAGCCCUUUCAUUUACCUGUUUUUGCAGCGUACUUGAAGCUCAUUUUAGUUUGCAACAUUUAUAUAAUUCGCAGAUUGCAAGUUUGUAAUUACCGAUCAUGUAAUGUUUUAGGGUUAUGAGUUGGGUGUGAUCUUGGUUUGUUGAUGCCUUUUUUCCUAUAUUUGUUUUAUAAUUUUGACAUUUUAUGAAGAGUGCAACUAGAUUUACUACAUGUCAUAUUUUCAUGCCCAUUCUUCCUUAAUGAAAAUGUUUAUUGCAAAUUUUAUUUAAGGCGGGUCGGGUUGGAAAAUAUGAGAAGUGUAGUUUGAAACAGUGUAUAAAAUUUUUCAAUCGAUUUUUUUUUUUGGAAAUAUCGAAAAAAUCAGAUAACAUAUGAAAAUGGAAAGUGAAGUUUAACGUUCACAAGAUGUCAGAGAAACUCUUAAAUUUCAGCUAAAAUCGACAGAUGUUAUUAAUAUUUUUUACAUCUCGAUUAAAUAUAAAAAAACUGCCAUAUAUCCUAAAGUUUCAUUUUAAAUGUCUACGUUUUUUUUAGCAAAUAUCCAUCACUUCCAUCGAAAGCGACUUAAUAUUAGGGAAUUGUUAUUAGCACUCCUAAAAUCUUAUUCUACACUCCAAACUGCAUGUAGGACGUUAGCAAUCCGGAGUCUAUCUUCACCAGGCCAACAAGACUGCAUGUAGGACGUUAGCAAUCCGGAGUCUAUCUUCACCAGGCCAAACGACUCUUCUGAUGAACUGCAACAAUUGACAAAAUCCCCAACUGGAAAGCCCUGGACAGGAAGCCACGAUAAUUUUUCACACUUCUAGUCAUUGGCUGUAAGAUCUAUACUAGAUUUUGUCAUCAACAUUGUAUUAUUGAUAAUUCUGUUCCUCCUAGAAAUCGCAAAAGCGUGGAAUUUAAAAUGAUGAAUUUAAUGUUCGUUUGGAAGUUUUGAAGUUUUUAUCUGUUUUUUUAUUUUUUAUUUUUUUGGCAUAUAGUUGAGAUUAGUGUUCAUUGAACAACCGAGUGGAAAUUAAAAGCAACAGGAAAGCGUAUUUUUACCACUUGUGAUUUUUUUUUUCAUUACCGCAUGAAGCUUUGUUUUGAACUUUUGAUACGAGCAAUAGUGGGGAGGAGAAACCAAACUCGAGACCUCAUAAAUGAGUGUGGAUGCUCCUAACCAACUAAACUACAAGUCAUUUUCUCAAACUUAUGCGUGUUGAAGUAACUCGUCAUGAGAAGAUUAAUAUGAAUGUGGUAUGCUCCUCUUGCAGUUACACUGGGGAUGUCUUCGAAAGGGUUAUAAGAGAAAUAUGCAGGAGAUUAAAAGAUGUCCCCAUCAAUGCCUUAAGGUGGUGAGAUUUUCUGGGUUCAUUGGGAUGGGCGGGUCAAUUAUCGAUAUAAGACUGAAAAUAGCGAAAGUUUGCAUUGACACAUAUCAUUUGAAGAUGCUCUUAUAUUACUGAUCAUAUAAGGUUAAAGGUCUUUGUUUUCAUAUUUAUUUUAGAAUUUUAAAGGUUUUCUUACACGUCUUAUUUUUCACAACAAAAUUUAUAUAAAGUGGGUCGAAAAUGUAACAACCCGUAUCCAAAUUUAUGUUUUCAAUGAGGAAAAUUACGAAAUUACCCUAGUGACGGAAAGGUCGACUUUUGUUGAAUUUCGUCUGUUAACGUAUUAGAAAUUUUCACUUAUUUUAUUCCCGUAGCUCUCGUCGAUAUGAACGUGUAGGCACGAUUGAAAUAGAAUUUGGAACUAAAACAAAGCUUUUACGAUUUUUGUACAAUAGAGGAAAUUAGGUAAUUUUGUGGUGGAUAUUUUUCUCCAUUUUGGGCCUCUACAUGGCCCACACGUGGCGAUUCCCCACCCCAUUAAUUGGGAUGUUUCCUUCCCCACCCAUGAGCCCUCUCUCUCUAGAACACUCUUGCUCUCUCUCGUCUCAUCUCCGGCGAGAUCACUCACACACCCAUACAUACAUACAUACACACAGACAGCUACCCAACCCUCAUCACCUCUAUCUGGACCUCCCUUCUCUCCCUCACCCCUCCGAGCUCUCUCUCUCUCUCUCUUUCACCUUCUUAGCAUUAUGCAUCGUCACUGUGCACGCGGUGUUUCGAUGAGGUAAGUUGAACUCACCCCUAAUAUAUGACGGGUUUAGUAAGGUGUUUCGCAAGUGUUUGAGGCUUUUUGGUAGUGUUUUAACACAGGAACACCACGGAACCAUUUUCUCUAUAUUUUUCGAUGAGACCCGACGACUUUCGAGCUAAUUUCCGGCCACGACACCACUCCAAAAUGGUACAAAUCUCUUUUUCUGGUGUCAAGCUUCAUUUUGGCUUUUGAAUCGUUGCAAAUGGUGCAUAAACAAGCUUGAUCGGAGCUUGGGAAGCUCCAACUUCGUUCUCCGAGAAAACUAGCCUGGAACCAGGUCGACUCGACUCGUGACCCUAUGACACAACUCUAAACCCAGCCCAAAACCUUGGGCCUAUAUAGCCAAGCCCAAAACAGAACCAGGCCCAAUCCUUUAGGCCUAAACCAAAUCCCAAAACCCCCGGCCUAAUCCAGAAACCCAGUUCACGGUUGGCCCGUGGGUGCGCGUGGUGACCGGCGCGUGGAGCACACACGCCUCAGCUGAAGGAACUGUGCUCCACCGCCGUCCACAGCAACAACUUUUGCGGCCAACUUUUCGGUGACUCAUCUUGAUGUAUGGUGGUGUGUGUGGCAACAAGUGGCCUUUCGGGCCGUCGCCUUGUGGCGGCGCGUGGGGGAAACCGGGGUCCCUUCUUAGGUUAUUCGACAUGCCAAAUCCGAAUCUGCUAUCCAUUUUUGGAAAUUCCAUCGUUUUAGUAGAAUUUUAUUAAAUGCACUCUCUUUGUGUUUAGGUGCAACAAUUGGAAACGAUCCAGUCCAUCCUAGUUCGAGUGGUUCUCCGGUAAUGGAGUACUUGUGAGUAGACCCCUUCUAAACUUACACAUUUUUAUAAAAAAAAAUUAGCCUAGCAUGCAUUUCAUACUUAAUGAUUUGAGCAUGUUUUAUAAUAUGUUUGACAGAGAAUUUAUGAUUUCUUUAAAUUGCUUUUACGGAAUAUUUAUGAUUUAUCGAAUUUACAUUUUACUAAAGGUUAUGAAUUAUUAGAAUUGCAUAUAUGAAAUUCUAUGGAUUUAGAAUAUGAGUUAUUUUGCAGGUUUACAGAUAUGAGAUUCCAUGGAUUUACGGAUAUGACUUACUAUGGAUUUAUGAGACGAAGUUUGAGCUUUUGAGCUAUGGUGAUUUGAAAUGAGAUUUUUAAGGUAUGUUUAAGGUACUUAUCUAAUGGGUUAUCAUACAACACAUCCACACAACACAGGUAUGUAGUCUAUGACCAUAUGACACAUUUAAGGAGAUUUAUGUAUAUACCUCUUCUCCGGCGUAACCUAGAGUCGUACAACUUCACCUUUGGGUGAUGGACCAUGGUUUUCUUCACUGGCAUAACCCAGUGGGGUGGUGGAUAGGUAUUGCCUUCAGAUGGAUGAGGAGCAGAUGAUAUUAAUGAUAUACCCCCAACUUCACUAGCCUAGGGUUAGUGUCAGUGUGUGAUGUUAUAUAUCCUCUUCUCUGGCAUAACUCGGAGUCGUACAACUUCACCUUUGGGUGAUGGACCAUGGUUUCUUCACUGGCGUAACCCAAUGUCGUAUAGCUUCACCUUCGGGUGAUGGACAGGUACUGCCUUUGGGCGACUAUGAUAUCCCUAGAAAUAGUACAUUUGAGGAGAUUUACGGAUUUACCUUCGGGCAGCUAUAUUACUAUUUCUGAACCCUGUUUUAUACACAUUGGUUUUACAAAUGAUUUCAUGGCAUGCUAGGGUUUUCUGGGAAACCUAUUAUGUAGUAUUAUAUUUGUUUGUAAAAAGGGGGUUAGUAUGUUCAGACAUAAAAUGGUUUUCCUAUUAUUAGUAUUAAUAAAAAUUAUGGUCCACUCACCUUUUCUUUUUUCGCCCCCUCAGGACAUAUCAACGAAGAGUACGACCCAAGCUUCGAGGCAUGUCCCUAUCAGUGACCUUGCAUCUCUCCACUUCAGUAUGGAUUCUUUUCAUGAUCAUUGUUACCUAUUGUUUUACUUCGCUCUAGCACUUUCGUUUAGUAGUAUGCUCUGGACAUAUUCAUGAUUGUUGAAUACUUCGUUUCGUUCAUGCUUAAAUUGAAUGCAUUGUUGUUAUUGCUUCUUAAUGUUGCAUAUUCGUUGUGAAUGUUAUUUCUUGCAAAAUUUUGUAUUUCUUAUUCAUUCACAUCCUCAUUGAUUCACACACUCAUAGCUUUCGUCAUCCUUGGGUGUCGGCCAACAUGUGCCAUCCAUGUGGCAUUUGGAUAUCUGGGUUGGGGCAUGUCAGUUUGGUAUCAGAGCUUUAUUGGUUCGAUUUUUAUUGAUUCCGCCAUAAUGUUUUACCUCCUCGAUCCGAUUUCAUUGGUUCCUUCUUAUGGUUUUACUGUUGUUGGUCUAGAGCAUACUUAAGAUUUCGCAUUACUCCCUUGAUUGUUAUUUCCCUUCCCUUGGUUGUUAUUUCGCUCCAAUAAUUUUUAUUUUCUUCCAUUGAUUGUUAUUUCCUUCCAUUCUAUAUAUUUCCUACCAUUGAUUUGUAUUUCCUUCUAUUGAUUGCUAGUUCAUCCAUUAAUUGUUAUUUCCUUCCAUGGAUGGUGGUUUCCUUCCAUUGUUGGUUAUUUCCUUCUAAUCAUUUUUAUUUCUUUUCAUUGGUUGUUAUUUCCUUUCCACUAUUACUAUGUCUUUCCAUUAAUUGUUAACUUCUUCAGAUUAUCGUUGUCUUACUCCAUUAAUUGUUAUUUCUAUCCGUUGAGUACUACUUCCUCCUGUUGACUACUAAUUUCUCCCGUCUUGAUUGAGAAAUAUUUUGUGAUGCUAAACUUUAUUUUUGUUGUUUCUCAUAAUCAUGAACACUCAUGGCGGAAAUGUAUCUCGUCGCAAUAAUAUUAUCUCGUGGCAAUAAUAUUCCUCAACGCCCACAUUUUGGUGUGUUAGGUAGAUUUCAGCAACUGGCUUCCGCUCUGCAACAUGUGUUCCCUAGGAACAGCGGGCAUAGCCACACCUACGUGGAGAUUGCCCGUGUCACGGGGUGAUUGAUUUGAAUAUUGUGGGCGCCUGUGAGGAGGCAAAAGAGUGGCUUGAAAAAGUUGAGGAUGUUUUUAAGGUGAUGCAUUGUCCUGAGAAAGAGCGGGCAAAAACAAUUGGUCAUUUUCUUCGAGAUGGUGCUAAGACCUGGUGGGAUUCUAUCAGACGAUCUUGGCCUUCUAACCCACCGACGACAUGGAGGAUUUUCCGAGAACUUUUUACAGAUUAUUUCCUUAGUCCUCAGUACAUAGCUAGAAAAAGACAAGAAUUUUAUGCUCUUCGCCAAGGAAACUUGUCAGUUAUCGAGCUCGAUUGCCAUUUUAGACGUUUGGUGAAACAUGUUCCCUCAGUUGAUGGUAACUAGCGGGAAAUGAUGUAUCAUCUUGGUAUCACUCUAAGGGAUAAGUUCCGCCCUUUUAUGUCAGUGACACAGUUUGACUCUUAUAAUAGUAUGAUCCAUACAACAUUACGAGUAGAGUGAUCAUUCCUAACUUCCAACAGUCAUAAUCGGUUUCGAGGUCAAUCUUCUCGGGGUCGAUGUUUCCGAUCACAGAGCACUAGAGAGUGCACUUCAUCAUCUAAUAUUGACCCGAGACAUUCAUUUUCGUUCAAAUGUCGUGGACAGGGAUCAUGAUCUUCUAAUGAGGGGUCAGGCAGCGAGGCAGCGAGACAGUUCUUCAGCCACUUCACACCCGCAAUCCCAAUGUGCAUGCGUUGUGGUAAACGUCACCGAGGAGGUUGUGUUGCCGGGGAUGGUCUAUGCUUCAGAUGUGGAGGUAUAAGACACUAUGCUCGUGACUGCCCUAUAAGGCGACCUUUUAAGAGCAUUGCAUCGGGUUCAGGCUAUGCUGGGGGGAGUAGCUCAGGUACUCAGGAGCAGAGCCAGGCACAUCAGCAGAGUUUGUGGACGGCUUCUGGCAACUGCACGUAGAGUAAUUGCCCAGGUAGAGGGUAAUCGUGGUGUUCGCACUCGCAGAGGUAGAGGUCGCAGCUCAAGUCAAGGUUACUGGGCGCAUUAACGUUAUGACUCAUCAGGAGGCAUAACAGGAUCCCCAAGUCAUCACAUGUAUGAUAUUCACUUUUGAUCGUUGGGUACAUGUUUUGAUUGAUCCGGGUGCUACAUUUUCAUUUAUAUCAUCACAGUUGGCACAGACUGUGAACCUGCAACCAACUGAGAUUGGUUUUGAUAUACUGCAUACAGUUACCUCAUGGUGAGAUAUUAUGUGCACAGUAGGAGUUUAAACAUUGCCCAAUUUAUGUAGAAGGUGUACUAUUUGAGGUGACUUUGAUUCCUUUUAAUUUGGUAGACUUUGAUCUCAUACUAGGGAUGGACUGGUUAUCUGUGCACGAUGCGCAUGUCGGUUGUAGGAGUAAAAUAAUGACCUUUCCUCGAUCUGGACAACCAGAUAUUGUAUUUCAAGGAGAACAAUGAAUUCUCCAUAACAAUAUUAUUUCUACCCACAAGGCAAUAAAGUCCUUACAGAAAGGUUGUGAGGGGUUCUUAGCUUAUGCAGUCGCACCGAGCGAACCUUCUGUUAGUGUUGACCAUGUGCCUAUCGUUUUAGUAGAGUUUUAUUAAAUGUACUCUCUUUAUGUUUUGGUGCAACAGUUGGAAGCGAUUCAGUCCAUCCUAGUUCGAGUGGCUCUCUAGUAGUGGAGUACUUUUGAGUGGACCCCUUCUAAACUUAAUUAUUUUUUUAUAAAAUAUUAGCCUAGCAUGCAUUUCAUACUUCAUGAUUUGAGCACGUUUUAUAAUAUGUUUUACGGAGAAUUUUAAAUUGCUUUUAUGGAAUAUUUAUGAUUUAUCGAAUUUACGUUUUACUAAAGGUUUUGAAUUAUUAGAAUUGCGUAUAUGAAAUUCUAUGGAUUUAGAAUAUGAGUUAUUUUGCAGGUUUACGAAUAUGAGAUUCCAUGGAUUUAUGGAUAUGACUUACUAUGGAUUUAUGAGACAAGGUUUGAGCUUUUGAGCUCCAAUGGUUUGAUAUGAGAUUUUUAAGUAUGUUUUCGGUACUUAUCUAGUGGAUUAUCAUACCACACAUCGACACAAUACAUGUAUGUAGACGUCUAUGGCCAUAGGACACAGUUGAGGAGAUUUAUGUAUAUACCUCUUCUCCGACAUAACCCGAAAUCGCACAGCUUCACCUUCGGGUGAUGGACCAUUGUUUUCUUCACUGAUGUAACCCAAUGGGGUUGUGGACAGGUAUUGCCUUCGGGCGGAUGAUGAGUAGAUGAUAUUGAUGAUAUACCCCCAGCUUCGCUAGCCCAGGGCUAGUGUCGGUGUGUGAUGUUAUAAUCCUCUUCUUCGGCGUAACCCGAAGUUGUACAACUUUAUCUUCGGGUGAUGGACCAUGGUUUCUUCACUGGCGUAACCCAAUGUCGUACAGCUUCACCUUCGGGUGAUGGACAGGUACUGCCUUCGGGCGACUAUGAUACCCCUAGAAAGAGUACAUUUGAGCAGAUUUACGGAUAUACCUUCGGGCGGCUAUACUACUAUUUUCGAGCCCUGUUUUAUAUGCAUUUGUUUUACGAAUGAUUUCAUGGCAUGCUAGGGUUUUCUAAGAAACCUAUUAUGUAGUAUUAUAUUUGUUUUUAAAACAGGGGGUUAGUAUGUUUAGACAUAAAAUGGUUUUCCUAUUAUUAGUAUUAAUAUAAAUUAUGAUCCACUCAUCUUUUUUGUUUUGCGCCCCCUCAGGACAUAGCGACAAAGAGUACGACCCGAGCUUCAAGGCAUUUCCCUAUCAGUGACCUUGCAUCUCUCCACUUGAGUAUGGAUUCUUUUCAUGAUCAUUGUUACCUGUUAUUUUACUUCGCUCUAGCACUUUCUUUUAGUAGUAUGCUCUAAACAUAUUCAUGAUUGUUGAAUACUUCGUUUCGUUCAUGCUUAAAUUGAAUGCAUUGUUAUUAUUGCUUCUUAAUGUUGCGUAUUCGUUGUGAAUGUUGUUUCUUGCAAAAUUUUGUAUUGCUUGUUCAUUCACAUACUCACUGAUUCACACACUCAUGGCUUUCGUCACUCUUGGGUGUCAACCAGCACGUGUCAUCCAAGUGUCAUUUGAAUAUCUGGGUUAGGAUGUGUCAGAAAAUUUGAAUGAAUAUGUGAGAAUAACAACCAUUCUCUUUGAAUAUCUAAAUAUAACAAAUGCUACUCUUGUCAUAUUUUUAUAUCAUAUUUGUAGUUGUACUCUUCUUUAAUAGAGAUAGAAUGCACUUGUGUUGGUACGUCCUAUUUUUAUUAGCGAGAUAAUACAAAUAUAAUAUGAAAAAUGUAAUAAUUGUAGAAUUAUUCCUAAAUAUAUAGUCUUAAACUAUACCUAAGGCUCCGAACAUAUGAAAACAUAAAGGAGAUAAACAAGAGGAUAAUUGCUUAUAAAGGAAAAACAAGAGGGAGAGUGCAAAAUAACUAUUUUUGGCUAUAACAAAGUCCUUAUGUUGAAUCAUUUUUGUAAUCAUUUUUUUUGUCUCAUUGUGUAAAAAAAAAAUUUAAUCAUUUUAUUAAAAAAAAUUAUUAUGUAGAGAUGAUAUUUAAAGGUGAUUAUUAUUUUUUUAUUAUACAAACGAUAUUAUCGUCACUGAGGGAAAUUGAGUUUAACCUCACAAUGAGCUAACAAUACAGUGGUUCAACUUCACCUUUAGCAAGAAUCGAACCUGAGAUCUCUCACUGACAAAUGAAGAGAAAUACUAUUUGACGAGAAUCAAACUUAAAACCUCUCAUUUACAUGUAAAAAAAGAAAAACUAUUAAAGUGGCAUAUUUAAAGAGUGACUUGAAGGUAUAAAGAAAAGUUUAAAGAGGAAGGUAUCCAGCUUUCCGUUUCCUCCAUGUCUCUUUUUUUCUGCAUGUUAGCUUCUCUAGUAAGCUCGAGUAUCCAUUUUCCAACCCCAACACCCUCCCCACAUUUCCGGCUGUCCACGUUGGCCAAUCAUCACCUGAGCCACUCUCAACCCUCACCACGGUGCCAACCCCUCCACCACCACCCCCACCACCUCCUCCUCCUCUCUCCGAUCUCCCCAAAUUCCAGUUACGAAAUCCUAAAAACAAGUAAGUUCCCUUCUUCCUCGCUAUUUAACAUUAUCUAGUUUAUUUGAUAUCUUCCAUGAAUUUAUAUUUUAUCGCCUAUGAAAUCCACGAAUAUUAAGUACUUAGUUACAUUUAGCGUUUUUGAAAAUUAUAAAAAUUAGUUUCAAAUCGAUUAUCAAGUAAUUUAGCUGCUAAACUGACUGGCAUAUGAUAGGAUUUUUAACAUCUAUGCAAAUAGGGUCAAAAUCACAUGAAAUACUUGCAAGAAUACAAGGAUAUUGUAGUAUAGAUGCUCAUGCAAGGUCGUUUUCCUCGAUGACUAUUUGGAUAAUUUAUGUAGAAACAAUUCCUAAUUAAAUACUUAGAAUUAAAACUUGAGAAAAGAGAGUUUGAGAGUGGAUAAUAUUAAAAAACGAAUUUUAAACAAAGACUAAAAUAAUCGAAGAAAAGAGUUUUAAAUACCAAUUUAUAAAGGCACUAAGGUUCCACCAUCACCUAACAAUCCUAUGAAUUGCUACCAAUUACUUACGAUUUACACAUGCCACUUCGAAGGUUAGGUUUUCCUAAUAUAUAUUCUCCUCGUGAUGUUCAAGCAAGAACGUAUAUCUAACAUGCAAUCCGUCUGUGAUAUUCAGAUCAAAUAUGAACAUGCAAGACUCAUUAAGUUUUAUGAAAACCUUUUGAAGAACCAUGCAACCCCUAAGAACGUGAUAUUCACCUUAGAUGAAAUUAAAAUUAUCAAUCACAAGAAGCAAUACUCAAUCCUCCGGUGAUAUUCCGACCGAAUUGCAUCCAAUUACUUGUCUAAACAUCCUAAUGGUGGCCAAUCAUCAAGAUAAUAAGAUAGUUUAAAACGGCAAUCAAUAAUUCAAAGUAUGCAUGGUUUCGCCCUAGCAAAAAGAAUUAGUUAUGCAUAUUCAUAAUUGAAAUCAUAGAAAAUAUUAUUAAAAAUAAAAGGAAUGAAAGCAUCUUAAAGUAGAAAAUCUCCAAGAACCAUAGCCAAGUUCUUUGUCUCUGAAAUUGAAUAAUAAUAAGCGUCCUCAAAAACUGUAGACGGCCAAAGCAAUAUAUUUGCUCAGCCCUUACAAACCCUAAGACCUUGGUUUCUUAUUCCAACUAGGAAACUAAGAAAAAAUAAUAAAAAUAUCUUAGAAAAUAAAACCCUAAUAUCUGCCAAGUACUUGUCCAGCCACGUUUUAGUCUCAGAUCUCCUCCAAAUCCGGCCCAAGAUAGGUUGUUUUAAAGAUAAGGACGUUCCAAACACAUCUCCAGAAGGCCACGAAACCAUCCGAGGUUAUCUUAGGCUCCAAAAACGCAAUUUAAUCCCACAAAUGUCAUUUUCCAGCACCGCGCAUCACUCCUUUAUUUUAUCGCCAAAAAAUAAUCGCUUGAUGGAAAAAUCCCAAAUUUUGAUACGACCAAGCUAAGUGACUCACGAACGUCUUCCAACUAGAAUUACUCCAAAAUUCGUCCAUUUGACCACGUUUUUCUCCAGAGGAAGUCGAAAGUCCUAUAUUGAAAAUACAAUUCAAAGUAUCAAAAUUCUUCCAAAAUAUUAACCAAAAUAUACUAAAAAUAGGGUUAAAUAUAUAAUAUAAAAUUCACUUAUCAGCAUACUUACUGACUGACUGGUUCUUUGUAGAUUUUGCUAAUUUGCCUCAGAAUCUGCAGCUUAUCUGACUAAAUUGUUCCAGUAUUUAGUUCAAUAGUUAGCAAAUCGAAGAAGGUUCGAUGGAAAUUCCAACUGCAUCAACAUAUGAUAAAAAACAAGAUAAAACUCUCCAAUGAAUUUGGGUGAUAAGGGAGAAACAAGUAAUCAUUUGGAGGAUCGGAUUGGUCAACUGCCGGACGCGAUUCUGAUUAACAUCAUUUCCCCUUUGAGGAUUAAGGAAGUAGCAAGGACUAGUGUCCUCUCUAAGAGGUGGAGAUAUUUGUGGACACAUGUUACACGUCUCAACUUUGCUCAUCAUGAUGGUGAACAUCUACGUACCUCCAUAAGGACCACAACAGUUAAUCCGUCAGAGAGACGUCGUCUAGAAGAAGCGACCAACAGAAGACAACGAAUCCGGCAAUCGCACCAGGGUUUAACACCUUUAAACUUAGGUGAAUUCAGAGGUGGUUCUUCCUCAGCAGGUUCCGGUUCAAGAUCUAGGCACCCCGAUGGGAUUCCAAGACAAAUUGACCCACCAUCACCACCACCGUGUACGGUGGUGACCGAAGUCCUGCGAUCGCAUCAGGGUCCAACCAUAGAUGGAGUCAGAAUUUGUGGAUCUUGCUAUAGCUCGGAUAAUGUCGAUGAUUUUAUCAAAUUUGCAAUUCAAAAGAAAGUUCAAUGGCUUGAGAUAUACCAAUCGAUAGAAAAAAAGGCCAAGUCUUGGGAGAAGCCUUUCAACAACCCUUUUGGUGUUUCACGCAUUAAGUCCCUUAGACACCUCUCUUUGAUGUGCAUGCCUAUAACUGAUGAAGUUGUUGGGCUGGUUGUAUCCGAAUGUCAACUUCUUGAACACCUCAGUAUUUUUGGCUCAAGCGAUCUUUAUGCUGUGAAAGCAGUUGGUUCAUCACUCCGGUUGAAGUUCCUACAAAUAAGUUAUUGCGGUGGCAUAGUCAGAGUUGAUAUUUCUGCCCCUAAUCUUGUGUCAUUUAUAUAUC